rnacentral:lncRNA from 1 species
GUAAGGUCGGGAUCGUAGCUCGAUUCGUAAGAACCUACUUAAGGGUAAAAUGGUAACUUCACAUAUAUAGAUAUACACAAAAACACAAAAUAAUAAUAAUACAUGAACACAAUAAACUUAAUAUUUUAUAAACAUCAUUCCAAAUGUUCAUAAUUUCAUAACCAACCAAGUACUAAGUUCAUAAAAUAAGUAACUAAAGGUUAUGAGAUGAAGGACAAAGUAACAUAUGAGAUGAAAGAGAGAUUAGGUUUGAAACAGAGGAAACAAAGGAUAGGAAAGAGAGGUUAGGUUUGAAACAGAGGAAACAAAAUGAAACGAAACAGAAGGUUAUGAAGGAACGAAAGCCAAAUGUUUGUCAAGCUGAAUCGCGAUUGAAGAAGAUGUGAGAAGAAACAUGCUGAAUCGCGAUUGAAAAAGAGGUGAGAAGAAAC